AAAACAUUUCCCAAUAAUUUUAAGCACUUCUUUUAAAAUUACAAAAUUGGCAAAUUGUCUACUGUACCAUUUAUUCUUGUUCUUUUCUUUAAGAGCACGGCCAUCAUAUUUAAUCCAGUAUUUUCACAUAAGCUCUUCCUUUCAAAAGAGCAAACCAGUUUUGUUUUAGGCAACUGAUGUCAUGUUCACAGAAUUUCUCAGCUUGGGCGCAGGAUUUAAGAGAGAAUGUAAGAAAGCAAUGCCUGACUAUUGAUUAAUCCAAGGCCCAUUGUACACACAGUCAAUUAUAAUGCUAGAAUUUCUAAGUCUGGAGAAUAAUCUUAGCUGCCUGAUUUUAAAUCUUCUUACAUAAUCUUCUGAAGAAAACAUAAAAUCAACAAAGAGAACAAGUAAGGAUACUCAUGACUAAUAUCUUUAACAUUACUACAAUACAGAGAAUACCAUGAUCUUCAAAUUAUUUCUUAGUAGAGAAACAAACACCAAAUGCCAAGAGAGCUUCUACUGCUAUUGCAGAGGGAAGGCUUAAGAGACUGCAGAGAAAAAGAGAGCAGAAUGGCAUGGAGAAAUGAGAAGAAACACACACCAAGUCAACUCCAGCAUGCUCUUAGGAUAGCCAAGAAAAAUACGUAUAUAAUCCACGAAGGAACAAAGGAAGAAAACAUUCAAUAUUUUCAACAUGUUCAAGACAUCAUCUGAAGGAUAAGACUUCUGGUAGUCCAGAGAAACAUGAAAAACGAGGAAGUCAGAGAGCUUACACUUUCAGCUGACAGCUGUUGUUCAGAUUUCAGUAGAAGGACGUUCCCAUCCACAGCCCCGAGGGCACAGAAUAAGACAGGCGCCGCUUGAAGAUAGAGACUAGCAUUGGAACCAGGUUGAACUCUGGAUCAAAUAUGUCUGAAGUGUCAAUGGAAAAUUGAGCUUCGCCAUUCUCGUCCGUAGUAUAAUUUCCUAUAAAUUCAUCAUUGAGCUCCAGUUGCAACAACUUGUUCACCAUAGUCAUUCCAAGCUAAAUCCCAGAAAAGACUAAAGAAACACAGACACAGUAUCAUACAAUUUGAGACACAGUAUACAACUGACGUGAACCUUCUAGAAACAGUGCUCUCACAAUCUGCCCAGAAAUAACUUUGUAGCAAGCACAGCUCCAGUCUAGCUGCCUGGUCUCCUGGCAAGAUAUUAUUAUUGCUGAUACUGAUUUACUCCUAUGUAACUCUAUCCAGAAUACAAUAUCAAAGAAAUUUCAAGAAAUCAGGAUCAUGGAUUGUAACCUGACAUACUGCUAAGGAACUACCAGUUCCAUGUUAGCAUGUGGUUUGCAAGUAUUUUCCAAAGGCCAUGCUUGAGAAACAUUUUUGUUCUUCCAAUGUGUUGUGGGUUUUGUUUUUAGCAUACUAUCGUGCAGAUAAAUAAAUGAGAUGUUAAUGCCACUGAAAGC
rnacentral:lncRNA from 1 species